GAUGAACGCUGGCGGCGUGCCUAAUACAUGCAAGUCGAACGAACAGGCGCGGCGUUUGCUCGUUGCACGUUAGCGGCGGGCGUGUGAGUAACGCGUGUAUACUGUACCUGUCAUACGGGGAUAACUACGGAAAUCGGGCGCUAACCGCGUAGGAGCUCCCGAUCCACGUUGUUGGAUGGUGAAAGACGGCGGUGGGGGCACGUCUCGCGGCUCCUGCGCCGUAUGAGGUAGUUGUUAAGUUAAAGGCUUACCAAGGCAACGAGUCGUAACCGAACUCAGAGGGUGAUCGGCCACACUGGAACUGAGACACGGUCCAGACUCCUACGGUAGGCAGCAGUAGGGAACCUUCCGCAAUGGGCGAAAGCCUGACGGAGCAACGCCACGUGAGUGAUGAAGGUCUUCGGAUCGUAAAACUCUGUUAUGAGGGAAGAACAAACGUGUAAGUAACUGUGCAUGUCUUGACGGUACCUAAUCAGAAAGCCACGGCUAACUACGUG
rnacentral:rRNA from 1 species